GUGGGGAAUCUUGCGCAAUGGGCGAAAGCCUGACGCAGCCAUGCCGCGUGAAUGAUGAAGGUCUUAGGAUUGUAAAAUUCUUUCACCGGGGACGAUAAUGACGGUACCCGGAGAAGAAGCUCCGGCUAACUUCGUGCCAGCAGCCGCGGUAAUACGAAGGGGGCUAGCGUUGCUCGGAAUUACUGGGCGUAAAGGGCGCGUAGGCGGACAGCUUAGUCAGAGGUGAAAGCACAGGGAUCAAUCUUGGAAUUGCCUUUGAUACUGGCUGUCUUGAGUUUGGGAGAGGUGAGUGGAACUCCGAGUGUAGAGGUGAAAUUCGUAGAUAUUCGGAAGAACACCAGUGGCGAAGGCGACUCACUGGCCCAAUACUGACGCUGAGGCGCGAAAGCGUGGGGAGCAAACAGGAUUAGAAACCCUGGUAGUCC
rnacentral:rRNA from 1 species